AGAACGAACGCUGGCGGCAUGCCUAAUACAUGCAAGUCGAACGAAUGCCCUUCGGGGUGUUAGUGGCGCACGGGUGCGUAACGCGUGGGAAUCUGCCCUUGGGUUCGGAAUAACAGUUAGAAAUGACUGCUAAUACCGGAUGAUGACGUAAGUCCAAAGAUUUAUCGCCCAGGGAUGAGCCCGCGUAGGAUUAGCUAGUUGGUGGGUAAAGGCCUACCAAGGCGACGAUCCUUAGCUGGUCUGAGAGGAUGAUCAGCCACACUGGGACUGAGACACGGCCCAGACUCCUACGGGAGGCAGCAGUAGGGAAUAUUGGACAAUGGGCAAAGCCUGAUCCAGCAAUGCCGCGUGAGUGAUGAAGGCCUUAGGUGUAAAGCUCUUUUACCCGAGAUGAUAAUGACAGUAUCGGAGAAUAAGCUCCGGCUAACUCCGUGCCCGCAGCCG
rnacentral:rRNA from 1 species